GAGGCCUAACACAUGCAAGUCGAACGGGAUUCAGUAGCUUGCUACUGAUGAGAGUGGCGCACGGGUGAGUAACGCGUAUGCAACCUACCUCUUACAGGGGGAUAGCCCGGAGAAAUCCGGAUUAAUAUCCCAUGGUAUUUAUUGUCCGCAUGGAUAGUAAAUUAAAGAUUUAUCGGUAAGAGAUGGGCAUGCGUGACAUUAGUUUGUUGGUGAGGUAACGGCUCACCAAGACUACGAUGUCUAGGGGUUCUGAGAGGAUGAUCCCCCACACUGGUACUGAGACACGGACCAGACUCCUACGGGAGGCAGCAGUGAGGAAUAUUGGUCAAUGGGCGCAAGCCUGAACCAGCCAUCCCGCGUGAAGGAAGACGGCCCUAUGGGUUGUAAACUUCUUUUCUGCACCAAGAAUGGGCCUUACGUGUAAGGUUUUGACGGUAGUGCAGGAAUAAGCAUCGGCUAACUCCGUGCCAGCAGCCGCGGUAAUACGGAGGAUGCAAGCGUUAUCCGGAUUCAUUGGGUUUAAAGGGUGCGUAGGCGGAUAGGUAAGUCAGUGGUGAAAUCCUACAGCUCAACUGUAGAACUGCCAUUGAUACUGUCUAUCUUGAGUGUAAAUGAAGUGGGCGGAAUGUAGCAUGUAGCGGUGAAAUGCAUAGAUAUGCUACAGAACACCAAUUGCGAAGGCAGCUCACUAACAUACAACUGACGCUCAUGCACGAAAGCGUGGGGAUCAAACAGGAUUAGAUACCCUGGUAGUCCACGCUGUAAACGAUGAUUACUCGUUGUUGGCGAUACACAGUCAGCGACCAAGCGAAAGUGAUAAGUAAUCCACCUGGGGAGUACGAUCGCAAGGUUGAAACUCAAAGGAAUUGACGGGGGCCCGCACAAGCGGUGGAGCAUGUGGUUUAAUUCGAUGAUACGCGAGGAACCUUACCUGGGCUCA
rnacentral:rRNA from 1 species